GCUGGAAAAAAAAAAAAAACACCUCACUAUGCACCUUCCAGGACCUGUGAGUCAUUAUUUCAGCCAGCAGAACCUGGCUUGCCAAAGAAUCAUCCUCACUAUCCACCUUCCAGGACCUGCAGGUGCGUAUUUUAGCUGCCAAAGCACUCACUCACCCUCACUAUCCACCUUCCAGGACCUGUGAGUCAUUAUUUCAGCCAGCAGAACCUGGCUUGCCAAGGAAUCACCCUCACUAUCCACCUUCCAGGACCUGCAGCUGUGCAUUCCAGCUGCCAAAACACGGCUUGACAAAGAAUCACCCUCACUAUCCACCUUCCAGGACCUGUGAGUCAUUAUUUCAGCCAGCAGAACCUGGCUUGCCAAAGAAUCACCUUCACUAUCCACCUUCCAGGACCUGCAGGACCUGCAGCUGUGCAUUCCAGCUGCCAAAACACGGCUUGACAAAGAAUCACCCUCACUAUCCACCUUCCAGGACCUGUGAGUCAUUAUUUCAGCAAGCAGUACCUGGCUUGCUAAAGCAUCACCUUCAUUAUCCACCUUCCAGGACCUGCAGGACCUGCAGCUGUGUAUUUCAGCUGCCAAAAGACGGCUCGUCAAAGAAUCACUCUCACUAUACACCUUCCAGGACCUGUGAGUCAUUAUUUCAGCCAGCAGAACCUGGCUUGCCAAGGAAUCACCCUCACUAUCCACCUUCCAGGACCUGCAGGUGCGUAUUUUAGCUGCCAAAGCACUCACUCACCCUCACUAUCCACCUUCCAGGACCUGUGAGUCAUUAUUUCAGCCAGCAGAACCUGGCUUGCCAAGGAAUCACCCUCACUAUCCACCUUCCAGGACCUGCAGCUGUGUAUUUCAGCUGCCAAAACACGGCUUGACAAAGAAUCACCCUCACUAUACACCUUCCAGGACCUGUGAGUC